CCUACGGGGGGCAGCAGUGGGGAAUAUUGGACAAUGGGCGAAAGCCUGAUCCAGCCAUGCCGCGUGUGUGAAGAAGGCCUUCGGGUUGUAAAGCACUUUCAGUGGGGAAGAAAGCCUUGGGGCUAAUACCCUCGAGGAAGGACAUCACCCACAGAAGAAGCACCGGCUAACUCCGUGCCAGCAGCCGCGGUAAUACGGAGGGUGCGAGCGUUAAUCGGAAUUACUGGGCGUAAAGCGCGCGUAGGCGGUCUGAUAAGCCGGUUGUGAAAGCCCCGGGCUCAACCUGGGAACGGCAUCCGGAACUGUCAGGCUAGAGUGCAGGAGAGGAAGGUAGAAUUCCCGGUGUAGCGGUGAAAUGCGUAGAGAUCGGGAGGAAUACCAGUGGCGAAGGCGGCCUUCUGGACUGACACUGACGCUGAGGUGCGAAAGCGUGGGUAGCAAACAGGAUUAGAUCCCUAUAGUC
rnacentral:rRNA from 1 species